rnacentral:rRNA from 1 species
UACGGCCAUAUCACGUUGAAACACCGGUUCCCGCACGAUCACCGAAGUUAAAACGUCGAGCCUGAUCUAUAUCUCGAUGAGUGACCGCUUGGGAAUACCAUGUUCUGUAA